rnacentral:lncRNA from 1 species
AUUAUUGUGAGUGGAAAAUUAAAGUAAGUGGAGUGUGAGUGGAAAGUAAAAGUAAGUGGAAUGGGAGUAUUUUUUUGUGAGUGAAAAAAAAAGUAAAAAGAGUGGGAAUAUUUUAGUGGAGUGUGAGUGGAAAGUAAAAGUAAGUGGUGGGAAUAUUAUUGUGAGUGGAAAAUAAAAAUAAGUGGAGUGUGAGUGGAAAGUAAAAGUAAGUGGAAUGAGAGUAAGUAAGUGGUGGAAAUAUUAUUGUGAGUGGAAAAUAAAAGUAAGUGGAGUGUGAGUGAAAACUAAAAAUAAGUGGAAUGGGAGUAAGUAAAUGGUGAGAAUAUUAUUGUGAGUGGAAAAUAAAAGUAAGUGGAGUGUGAGUGGAAAGUAAAAGUAAGUGGAAUGAGAGUAAGUAAGUGGUGGAAAUAUUAUUGUGAGUGGAAAAUAAAAAUAAGUGGAGUGUGAGUGGAAAGUAAAAGUAAGUGGAAUGAGAGUAAGUAAGUGGUGGAAAUAUUAUUGUGAGUGGAAAAUAAAAAUAAGUGGAGUGUGAGUGGAAAGUAAAAGUAAGUGGAAUGAGAGUAAGUAAGUGGUGGAAAU